AGUAUAUUUCAAAAUUUUUUUAAUAAUUCUAUGAAAAAUACAGCACACUCUUCAAGAGUUCAAUCAGGUUUAAAUCAUAAAGAUAACACAAAUUGUAAUAACAAUACAAUUGUUACUACUACUCUAAAUUUUAAUAAUAGUAACAGCAAUAAUGGAAAUGCUAAUGUUAGUGUUAGUGCCAACAGUUGUGAUAACAAUAACUUUUUGCGAAAAUCUUAUGAAAUGUCUAAAUAUGGAAACAAUACACCUCAUAUCAUUCAACAUAAUGUCAAUAACAAUUACUUAAAACGUAAUGAGAAUCACAAUUUUGUUAAUAAACAUACAGAUAUGUAUGAACAUUGUUCAUAUUAUGCACAGGAUUCGACAAAUGAAAAAAAUGAUAUUUUUAGCGAAUUCUUAUUAUCUGACUGUGUACAAACAGGUCAAAAUAAUAAGAAAAAAAAUGAAUUAUUAAGUAAUGAAAAUAGUAUCGGUAACACCAGCGCAAAUACAAACGGAAACGGUAUUAACAAUAGUAGUACUGUUACGUCAAAAAAUCAUAUAAAAGAAAAUGUUGUUAGUAGUGGUAUUAAUAGUAGUACAACGAAUGCUCAAUUGGAACGUGUAUGUAAUAGUACAACUAAUAAUGAAAUUAGAAAUAAUGAAGAUGGAGGAAUGGAUCAGAAAGGAGUUCCUAAAAGGUGUAGUAAUAAUAAUAGUUAUGAUUAUAAUUACAACAAUCGCGAUAAAAAAAGUGAUGGGCAGAUACUUAUGGAAAAAGAACUGAAUGAGAAACAGUCAGAGCAACAGAGGGAAUUAUAUAUUGAACAUAACACAGACAUAUGGACUGGUACAUCUGUUAAAGAAGAAAAACACGUACAAAAGGAUGUACCGAAUGUACAUAUGCAGUGUUCUUCAUCAUAUGAAAAAAAUAACAUAAAAAGUAAUAGGUUGAGUGUAGGAGAUACUACUACAUAUGAAGAAAAAGAAGUUGCCCAAAAAAAAGAAAAAAAUAAUAAAGAAAAAAUAUUGUCAAAUAAUGUAACAA
rnacentral:lncRNA from 1 species